rnacentral:rRNA from 1 species
AUUGAACGCUGGCGGCAGGCCUAACACAUGCAAGUCGAACGAGUGGCGGAGGGGUGAGAAAUGUUUGGGAAACUGCCCGAAGGAGGGGGAUAACUACUGGAAACGGUAGCUAAUACCGCAUAACAUCGGAUGUGACCAGUUGGGAUUGGCGAUUAGGUGGGGUAACGGCCCACCUAGGCGACGACCCCUAGCUGGUCUGAGAGGAUGACCAGCCACACUGGAACUUGGACACGGUCCAGACUCCUACGGGAGGCAGCAGUGGGGAAUAUGGCACAAUGGGCGCAAGCCUGAUGCAGCCAGGCCGCGUGUAUGAAGAAGGCCUUCGGGUUGUAAAGUACUUUCAGCGAGGAGGCGUUACUCACAGAAGAAGCACCGGCUAACUCCGUGCCAGCAGCCGCGGUAAUUC